AUUGAACGCUGGCGGCAGGCCUAACACAUGCAAGUCGAGCGGGGUUUUCGGACCUAGCGGCGGACGGGUGAGUAAUGCGUAGGAAGCUGCCCGAUAGAGGGGGAUACCAGUUGGAAACGACUGUUAAUACCGCAUAAUGUCUACGGACCAAAGUGUGGGACCUUCGGGCCACAUGCUAUCGGAUGCGCCUACGUGGGAUUAGCUAGUUGGUGAGGUAAUGGCUCACCAAGGCGACGAUCUCUAGCUGGUUUGAGAGGAUGAUCAGCCACACUGGAACUGGGACACGGUCCAGACUCCUACGGGAGGCAGCAGUGGGGGAUAUUGGACAAUGGGCGCAAGCCUGAUCCAGCCAUGCCGCGUGUGCGAAGAAGGCCUUCGGGUUGUAAAGCACUUUCAGCGAGGAGGAAGGGUGGUGUGUUAAUAGCACAUCAUUUUGACGCUACUCGCAGAAGAAGCACCGGCUAACUCUGUGCCAGCAGCCGCCGUAAGAC
rnacentral:rRNA from 1 species